rnacentral:lncRNA from 1 species
AUAGCAGACAAAUUAAUAAAGCUACAGAUAAUGCAAAUAACAUAAUUUUAAAAACAUAGUCAAAUGGAUAUAGAAAGAAAAUAGAAAUUAACCAUCCAUUAGGCUUCAAAAUGCAUCUCAACAAAUAUCAAAAAACUGACCACGUUAUCUGACCUUCUUGCAAUGUUAAUAACAAAAAGAUAGCUAGUCAUGCAUUAUAAAAUAUAUUUCUAAAUAACUUAUAGAUAUUUAAAUUUCAUAUUUGCAAUAGUUUUCAAUUAUAAUCUAUUUAGACAACAAUAAAAACACUUGAUAUCAAAACCUAGGAAACAUCUAAAGAAAUACUUAGUGGUCCAUUUAUAGCCCUAAAUACCUGUUACCAAAAGGAGAAGGUUUAAAAAUUAAUUACCUAAGCAUUCAACAAAGGAAGCUGAAAAAGAAUCACAGGGUAAAUCCAAAGAAAAUGGAAAAAAAAUAAAAGCAUAAAUUAAGGAAACAUGAAGCAAAGAAACAGUAGAGAUGCUUUUAUUUUUAAAUAGUUCUCAAAAAACAACCCUCUGGCAAACUGAUCAAGAAAAAACAGGAGUGAAGUCACAAAUAAAGACUGGCAGAUAGCAGUGAAGUUGUAAAAAUUCUAAAUGAAUGUAAGAAACUACUGUGAGUAUUGUACUGAUAAAUGUGAAACCAAAAAGCAAGAACAAUUUUCUAGAAAAAUAAUAUUGCCUACUGUAACUCAGUAAGAAAUUAAAUGCCUGAGUAGACUUAAAACAUUAAAUAAAUUGGAUUUGUAGUUCUUUUUAAAGCCAUGCACAGCCACUCACACUUACAUAAAAAUUACCAGAACAGAUGGUUUUACCUUCUGCCAAACCUUCAAAGAAAGAUACUCCUUACAUGACACAAAUUGUUCUAGAAGACAGAGGAAAAGGGUAAUCUCUCCAACUCAUUUUAUAAAGCCAGUAUCACCUUUUAGCUUUGAAAUAAAAAACAGGCAAGGAUAGUACCAGAAAGGAAAAUUAUGGGCCAAUUUCAGUUAUAAACAUGGAUGAAAAUGUUCUAAAUAAAAUCAGAGCAAAAACCCCUCAGAACUAACUAAAUGGUUUAUCUUAGAAAUAGAAGGUUGAAUAAAUGCCAGAAAAUCUAUCAAUGUAUAUUCACCACAUAAGUAGACAGAGGGAGAAAAAAAGAAAAUUAUUAUCUUGGUAGAUGCAGAAAAAAAGUUUAUGACAAAUUUCACCAUGCAUUUAUGAUAAAAACUCUCAGAAGACUAGGAAGGAAAUCUUCUUACUUUGAUAAAAGAUAAUAUCAAAAACUGAGAGUAAACAUCAUAUCUAAUGGAGAAACUUUAGACACGUGCUCUUUAAAAUUAGGCAGAAGAUGGCCGGGCACAGUGGCUCACGCCUGGAAUCCCAGCACUUUGGGAGGCUGAGGUGGGCGGAUCACAAGGUCAGGAGUUCGAGACCAGCCUGGCCAAUAUGGUGAAACCCCAUCUCUACUAAAAAUACAAAAAUUAGCCGGGCAUGGUGGUGCAUGCCUGUAGUCCCAGCUAGUUGAGAGGCUGAGGCAUGAGAAUUGCUUAAACCUAGGAGGCAGAGGUUGCAGUGACCCGAGAUCACGCCAGUGCACUCCAGCCUGGGUGACAGAGCGAGACUCUGUCUCAAAAAAACAUAUAAAUAAAUAAAAUAAAAAAUAAAAAAAUUAGGCAGAAGAUAAGCAUACCUGAUUCCAGGCAUUGUUCAGUAUAGUACUAGAUGAUCUGGACCAUGCUCUAAGACAUGAAAAAAAGUAAAGGUAUAAGGAUAGUUGCAUAGAAAAUAAAAAUAUUCAACAGAUAAACUGAUAGACAUGGUAAAAUAAAUCAUAACAUUCACCUGAUUGGUAAAAACUACAGAAAUCAACAGUGCUCCUAUACAUCAGCAAAAAUCAACAGGAAAUAUAACAGAGACACUUUUGUCUCUGGCCAUGAUGGACUAACUGGUAUUGGACCAGCCCUACCACUGUAAACAACUAGAAAACUGGAGAAAACAUAUGAAACAACUGUUGGCAUAUAUUGGACAAGAGGCAGCCCAGGACUAAGAUCUUGAGAGAAGAGAAAUGUAAGAGGCAAGUCCUAUGAUUACCCUGGCUUUCUGCCUACAGAUACUUUCUGGACAGUGGCACAGAAGUGGGGGAAACCAAGCAGACCAUGGUGCUCUCUCUGAGUCAGAGCUCAGGAGAAUUAAGUGGUUGGAAUUUGUGAAAUGGAGCACCAGAGAGAAAGAAGGGAACUCCUCAAGGAAACAACUCCAAAAUCCUGCAUAGACCCUUUGAGUCUUUGGCUGAAAACUAAGCUGUGCACAAGAUGAAACUAACUCUUUGAAACUGGGCAAAGAACAACUACUGAUUAUCUGUCUGCUGAACAAGUCUCAGAGUUCACACAGGGCUAGAGGGGUUCAAGUUCUGAUAAGCUAAAGUAGAAUGACUUCGUUGGAAACUUGGGACGUUCAGUAGAAAGCCCAAAAAGGUCUCUCCUAUAGCUACUCUAGACCUGCUCUAACAAAGUUCAAAACAAGUCUUGAAAGGAUCAAAUUUAUCUGUAAAUUAAAUGUCCACCAGAAGAAGGCCUACCACUGUUUAACAAAAAAUUAAAAAUUCAGACAUUCAACAAUGUAAAACUCACAAUGUCCAUCAUCUAAGGAAGUAUUACUAGACAUGUGACAAAGCAGAAAAAUGGGACCCCUAACCAGGAGUAAAAUUAGUAAAUUGAAAGAGACCAAGAAAUGACAGAGAUAAAAUUAGCAGGCAAGAAAUUUUAAAUGCCUGUCAGAAAUGCUCAAAGAUUUCAAGGAAAACAUGAACACAAUGAAAAGAAAAACAUGAGGUAUAGAUAAGAACCAAAUGCAACUUCUAGAGCUGAAAAUAUAGUGUGUGGAACAAAAAAAAAUUUACUGAAUGGGAUUAAGAACAAGAUUACACACUGCAGAAGAAAAGAUCAGACAACUUGAAAGCAAGGCAAUAGAAACUAUUUAAAAUGAAGCACAGAGAAAAAAAAACUCAGAGCUUUAGUAAUCUGUGAGACAAUAUCAAGCAAUAUAACAUGUGUCUAAUUCAAAUUCCAAGAAAGGGGGCAGAAAAUAUUUAAAUAAAAUGGCCAAAAGUUUCCAGACUCAUAAUAAAAUUAUAAAAUAAAAAUUACAGGCCAGUUUUAACUUGAGCGUGCCUCUUCCCUGUUUUCAGUCCACUGGGCUUAGGUGGGGUGGCUGUCACCCUUUGUUCCCUGUCCCUGCCUCCAGCUCUUAUAUUAAAAAUAUUUUUAAUACAGGAUUUUUAAUGGAGAUGUAUUUUUAAUGGAGAUGGGGUUUCGCCAUGUUGGCCAGGCUGGUUUCAAACUCCUGACCUCAGGUGAUCUACCUGCCU